AUACAUGCAAGUCGAGCGGACAGAUGGGAGCUUGCUUUGAUGUUAGCGGCGGACGGGUGAGUAACACGUGGGUAACCUGCCUGUAAGACUGGGAUAACUCCGGGAAACCGGGGCUAAUACCGGAUGGUUGUCUGAACCGCAUGGUUCAGACAUAAAAGGUGGCUUCGGCUACCACUUACAGAUGGACCCGCGGCGCAUUAGCUAGUUGGUGAGGUAACGGCUCACCAAGGCGACGAUGCGUAGCCGACCUGAGAGGGUGAUCGGCCACACUGGGACUGAGACACGGCCCAGACUCCUACGGGGAGGCAGCAGUAGGGAAUCUUCCGCAAUGGACGAAAGUCUGACGGAGCAACGCCGCGUGAGUGAUGAAGGUUUUCGGAUCGUAAAGCUCUGUUGUUAGGGAAGAACAAGUGCCGUUCAAAUUGGGGGGGCCCCUUGCGGUCCUAAACCAAAA
rnacentral:rRNA from 1 species